CCCAGGAGCCACAAGUGGCAACCACCUUUAUUUGGCCUAAAGCGUCCGUAGCCGGUUUUGUAAAUUUUCUGUGAAAUCGUUGCGCUUAACGUAACGGCGUGCAGAAAACACUGCAAGACUAGGGACCGGGAGGAGUCAGGGGUAUUUUUGGGGGGAGCGGUAAAAUGCUAUAAUCCCCGAAGGACCACCUGUGGCGAAGGCGCCUGACUAGAACGGAUCCGACGGUGAGGGACGAAAGCUAGGGGAGCAAUCCGGAUUAGAUACCCUAGUAGU
rnacentral:rRNA from 1 species